GUGAGGAAUAUUGGGCAAUGGGCGAAAGCCUGACCCAGCCACGCCGCGUGAGUGAUGAAGGCCUUCGGGUUGUAAAGCUCUGUGGGGAGGGAAGAAAAAGCGGGAGAGUAACUGCUCUCGUGUUGACGGUACCUCCUUAGCAAGCACCGGCUAACUCUGUGCCAGCAGCCGCGGUAAUACAGAGGGUGCAAACGUUGCUCGGAAUUACUGGGCGUAAAGCGCGUGUAGGCUGACAUGCAAGUCGGGUGUAAAAUCCCAGGGCUCAACCUUGGAACUGCACUCGAAACUGCACGUCUUGAGUACUGGAGAGGGAAGCGGAAUUCCGGGUGUAGAGGUGAAAUUCGUAGAUAUCCGGAGGAACACCAGUGGCGAAGGCGGCUUCCUGGACAGUAACUGACGCUGAGACGCGAAAGCGUGGGGAGCAAACAGGAUUAGAAACCCGGGUAGUCC
rnacentral:rRNA from 1 species